UCCAGUGUGUAGAGUGAGGGUGAGAAUGGGGAGCCGAACGGCCUCUCCCUGGAGUGACAGAGGAAUAGACCAAUAAGAGACGUAGACAGCUCCUAGGUGGCCCAAUCAGGAAUCGGGAAAGGUGGAGGGUCUGUGCGCAAUCCGAAAGAGGAGAGGUUCUGAUGGAUCGGCAGCGCUUUGGACCAAUGAAAGUCGGCAACAGCUUCUGUCUGUCGGCGAUGUAAGCGAGAAGAGAGGGUGAAAAGUUAGGCGGAGCUUAAGGUGACUGGCAGAUGGAUGGACAACUUGUGUAUUGUCCAAUCAGCGCUUCACACACAGAGAUACGGGAGACGGAGGCGGGAUUUGGCGUGUAUGUGGAAGAGUGAGUACAACGAGAGGAAUAGUAAUCAUGCUAAAGCCCAUAUCGCUAUAGCACAGUAAAACAGCAGAAGAUGCCAAAGGAAGAUGUCUUCAAGGAAAAGAAGGGAAGGAAUGUGAUGGAGGAAACCUGUCAAUCAAGAAGGGAAUGCUUUAGGGAAUGUGAGCUUCCUGCCUCAAAAUUUUGAAAUGGAAAAGGAAAACUUAUGAUGUAGGUGGGAUCCAUUUCUAGAAGUAUCCUUGUUAGAAUUGGAAACAUGCCUUACUUGCCUGCUGAAUUAUUUUGUGAAUAUAUCAAUCUACAUUUCCUGGGAUUUUCUCUAGGAAACAGAUGUACCUUUUUGCACACACCCCUUUGAAGAAGUGACACACCUCCGAUGACCAACACAACCCAAAUGGCAGUCUGCAGAAACACUGUCUCCCAAAAGGGGUGCUGCACAAACAUGUCCUUAGUUUUUCUAAGGGCAUCUUCCAGAACCCUGCUGAUGCAUCAAAGUGAAAAGUGACCUGUUGUGUUUGUGGAAGCUCUGGAAUCCCACAGGAGAAGGAUCACUCAACACCAUGGCAAUCUGCCAAGUACAACUUGUUUUGAAACACAGUGGCUCUGAGAAGAUGCAUUAUCAUCUGAAACACAAUGUCAUCAUAGUGGGAGGAACAGGACGUGAACCGGCCUUCCGCACUGCUCACCUGAUUGUUUUCUGUGAGGAGUCCAGCUACCAAAAUAUACAAGUGUCCUGCCCUUUGCUGCCUCCCGCGUUUGCUGUUCCAUGUUUUGGCAUCCAUGCAACUGGCAUUUGAACUAUACUGUAGCCCUCAGGGGAAGAAGUGACAGAUUAUUUUUAGGAUCAGCAGCUUUUUAAAAGAGAAAUUGCUAUUUCUUUUGUUAGAAGAAGUUAAAUUGUGAAACUGUCAAUUUUGAUUGUGUGGCUUUAAAUAAUUGAGUAUUCUAUAUAACAAGAUCUGAUCCCGCAAAUCCAUACUAGUGUGAGUAGUUACAUUAGUCCAGUGGGAUCAUUUGCAAGACUAAGGACUACUCUUGGGAGUAAGAGUCCAGUCCUGCCCCACUAAAGGCAGUGUAAAAAAUUCACAGUGACGUAAACUGUACAGGACUUGGGGAGAGAAAGCACAGGUUUAUAGCUGCUUGAUAUUUGAGUUACCACCAAAGUCAAACCUCAAUACAGGGUUUUAUUUGGACUACAGACAAAGAGUAUCUUCUGCUCAGCCCAAAAUGGGAACUCCAUCUGCUUUUAAUGAAGGUGUAAGUAUGCUCCAAAACUUAAGGGGCAGCAAAUGGAGGAAUCGUGCGGAAAGCCUUAAAUGUAAUAUAAAGAUGUUUCAAAUGGAAUCUUCUGUUUCAUCUACUAGC